UACAAGAGAGAACCAAUCCUUUGAAAAAUCAGUGUCAAAUGGAUUAAUUUGGAGUCUGUUUUUGGUAGUGGGGAAGCUGCAGGCGAAGGUGGGAAUUAGGUAUGCAGUAGGUGACGGACGUUGACCGUGAAGCGGCGGCUUUCACGCGUCAACACACGCCUUCCUCUGGACUCUUCCUGCUUCCCUCUUCCCUUCUCCCAUUUGGACCCAGUCCUCCUAAAGAACUUCCACAAUUUAAUUAAUGUAACUCUUUCCAGAAACACCGCCACCACCGCCACCACCACCACCACCACCUCUAUAUCUCCUGCAGUAUUUCAAAGAGCAGUCCUCUAGAAGUUCCUCACAGGAAUUGAGAAAAACCAAAAGAUUUUUUUUUCUUUUUUUCACAUUUUGAUAAUGUUUUUUUUGGUUGCGUCAUACUUUUGUAUUCCUUUUAUGGGUUCCAAGCCUGUGUUUGGUCAAACCUUUGUUGCUCAGCUGCAAAUGUGAUUUAUUGUCAGAGUGUACGUGGCAUGAACUUCGGCUGCCUCCCUUUCCUACAAUGUAUAUUCAUAAGAGCGUAAACCCUAGCUAAAACUCUCUUACUCUUUCAACAAUCACGUGGUUUUAGGAGGUUGGAGCUAUGGCUGGAGUUUUUGAAGAGGUUGAGAAGCCUAUUGGGAUCAGGGCUAUGGAGAGUCUAGGGUUAGGGUUUGAUCUGACAAAUGAUUUCAGAUUGAAGUUUGCAAAGGGGGUACCAGGUGAGAGGUUGGUGGUGCUGGACGAGAGGAACAAGGGGGACAUUGUGAUUCCUGGCGGGCUUACCAUUCCGGGAGUAUCCGAGGAUAUUCGGUGCGACAAAGGGGAUAGAAUUCGAUUCAAAUCCGAUGUUCUUGAGUUCAAUCAGAUGUCAGAGUUGCUUAAUCAGAAAUCUUCAAUACAAGGAAAAAUUCCUUCAGGCUAUCUCAACAGUAUCUUUGAUUUGAGUGGAGCAUGGUUGAAUGAUGCUGCAGACACUAAAUGUCUUGCUUUUGAUGGUUACUUCAUUUCCCUUUACUAUUUGCAUCUGACAGCAUCUCCACUAGUACUCCAGGAAAAAGUAAAGAAGUCUGUUCCUUCUCACUGGAAUCCAGCAUUAUUAUCCAGGUUCAUCCGGACAUAUGGGACACAUGUGAUCGUAGGAAUGGCUAUUGGAGGUCAAGAUUUAGUUUGUGUUAGACAGAGAUAUACCUCAACUAUUCCUCCUGCUGAACUCAGAGGCCAUUUAGAGGAUCUUGGAGAUUAUUUAUUCUCAGAUGGAAAGAGUCCUCAACUACAGAGGACAACAAGAGAUGGAAAACAAAAAGUUCCAGACGUCUUUAGUCGUAUCUUGCAGUCAAACACCAUGCAGCUGACAAGUAUUACAGAAACAUCAAGCAAGGAUGGCCUGACCAUUAUUUGGUCAAAAAGAGGAGGUGAUGUGUUUUUGCAAAGUCACUCCAAGUGGCUCCAGACCGUGUCAGCUAAACCAGAGGCCAUCCUUUUCAAGUUUGUGCCCAUCACUUCUCUACUUACUGGGAUUCCAGGCAGUGGAUAUCUUAGCCAUGCGAUCAAUUUGUAUCUACGUUACAAGCCUACUCUUGAGGAUUUACAGUACUUCUUGGAAUUUCAAGUUCCUAGUCAAUGGGCGCCUAUGUUUAAUGAACUACCUCUUGGGCAUCAGAGAAAAGGGCCUCUUGCCCUUCAUUGCAGUUCAGUUUCAUGGGUCCUAAGGUUCAUGUCAACUCCACCCAGGUAAUCUUUCUCUGUCUCUCUCCCCCUCCCACCCAGAGGACACAAAAGGCAAAAUUGAGGGUGUAAAAUUCUCCAAUCUGACCUCUUUAACUGUGUUACAUUCUGGAGCUUUUAGCUCAAGGUUUGGUUUUGGGACUCGCAUGUGGUUCCCCACCAAUUGGCUUGGCAUAAACAUGCCAAUUAUCAUACAGAAAAAUGGAGAGCUGAUAGUAUGCAUGUUUCAAGUGGUAAAAAACCAGUGAUGGGCCUGCGCCUGUAUUUGGAAGGGAAAAAAUGCAACCGGUUGGCCAUGCAUAUACAGCACCUCUCAAGCCUUCCAAAUUGUAUGGAAUUUUUAUUGGCCAACAGCUCCAUGUGCAGGCCAUGUCAGUGGCGAGGUUCUGAUGAUUAUGAGUCCAUUAACCAAUUCUUAGAACCAGUCAAAUGGAAGUCAUACUCUCAUGUCUGCACAUCAGCAGUCAAGUAUGAUCCCAAUUGGCUGAAGGGAGGUUCAACUGGGGUUUUUGUUGUAACUGGUGUUCAGCUUUUGAGCAAAGGCAAGUGGCCAAAGACCAUACUUCAUCUCCGUCUGCUCUUUACACAUAUACCCUACUGCACCAUUAGGAAGAAAGAAUGGGGGAUGGCACCAGAAGCUUCUCGGAAGUCAACUUUCCUUGCAUCUCUCAAGACAACAUUCACCUUCACUCAACAGGCAACUGGUCCACCAAAGCAGCUUCCGACUGCACUAAACUCUGGUGUAUACCCAGAUGGCCCACCUAUGCCCAUCCGCUCCACAAAGCUUCUUAAGUAUGUGGAUACAGCUGAGGUAGUGCGCGGUCCACAUGAUGCUCCCGGGCAUUGGUUGGUAAUCGCUGCUCAGCUAGUCACAGAUAAUGGUAAAAUUGGUUUGCUUGUAAAGUAUGCAUUGUUGGAUUAUUCACAAGAGUCAUAGUUCUCAUUUGCACAUAGGUAAUGGAUGUGGCUAUGUCUCUUUUGUUCAUUUAUAUUUGUUUAAGAGUUGAUGAUAACAUUUAUAAGUAAACUUCCGUAGCUUUGUACAGACAAUUGCAUAAGGAAUGCGGUUGGGUUUAUAUUUCUUCCUUACAACAUUUUGCUUGGUUUGUUUCAAAUGUAUUUUCUAUAGUAUGCAAGUGAAUUAUGGACCAAAAAUAUUCCAAGGGAA